AGUGAACGCUGGCGGUAGGCCUAACACAUGCAAGUCGAACGGCAGCACAGUAAGAGCUUGCUCUUACGGGUGGCGAGUGGCGGACGGGUGAGGAAUACAUCGGAAUCUACUUUUUCGUGGGGGAUAGCGUAGGGAAACUUACGCUAAUACCGCAUACGACCUACGGGUGGAAGCAGGGGAUCUUCGGACCUUGCGCGAUUGAAUGAGCCGAUGUCGGAUUAGCUAGUUGGCGGGGGAAAGGCCCACCAAGGCGACGAUCCGUAGCUGGUCUGAGAGGAUGAUCAGCCACACUGGAACUGAUACACGGUCCAGACUCCUACGGGAGGCAGCAGUGGGGAAUAUUGGACAAUGGGCGCAAGCCUGAUCCAGCCAUACCGCGUGGGUGAAGAAGGCCUUCGGGUUGUAAAGCCCUUUUGUUGGGAAAGAAAAGCAGCAGGUUAAUACCCCGCUGUUCUGACGGUACCCAAAGAAUAAGCACCGGCUAACUUCGUG
rnacentral:rRNA from 1 species